rnacentral:rRNA from 1 species
AUGCCACCUUCCGUGCACGACACGGAAGGCCUGCCGUUCAUGAAGCAUGGUUGUGUCUUCAGUGCACACCGCCGGAUGAACGACAUGCUGGGACACACUAUCCCUGAUUUAUGCCGCUUUAGCUUGGAUGAGUCUCCAUCGUGUGGAACCGGACUAGAAAGUUGCGACAAUGAUUCCCGUUGCCCGCCGCUAUGGAUCGUGCCAUCCAUGAAGAACACCUGGGACUGGAACCUGGAGGAGGACAUCAGACGCAAAUGCGCCGGCCUUCAUGAUUCCAGGACCUGGAAUCAUACCAGCCGAUGGUACCAUAUAACUGGAAUUAACCCAUGCAAGUCGAAGAAGGAUUGGCCGGUGCUGCCGGCUGGCGUCAAGUUCGAUCCCACGGAUCAGGAGCUGAUCGAUCACCUUGAGGCCAAAGUGAGUGCUGAUAGCGCGAGAUCUCACCCUCUCAUCGAUUUGUUCAUACCAACCAUCGACAGCGAGCACGACAUAUGCUACACCCAUCCUGAGAAACUUCCAGGUAUCACACUGAGUGGCCUAAGCAAGCAUUUCUUCCAGCGCAAUUCCAGGGCAUUCAGAAGGGGCACGUGGACGCGUCGCAAGAUACAGUCGGAGUGCGGCAUGUACGCGAUGUGGCACAACACCGACAAUACCUUGCCGGUGAUGGUCAACGGCCGGCAGACGGGCAGCAAAAAGGUUCUGGUGCUGCACACCAACAAGAACUUCGACCAGCAGAGGACCAACUGGGUGAUGCACCAGUACCACCUCAGGGACCUGGAGCAAGAGAAGGAGCAGGAGCUAGUCCUCUGCAAGAUUUUCUACCAGACGAACACUAGGGCCAGGAGUAAAAAGAUUAUAAGUUAG